GAAGGUUAUUGAACACACGAGUAAAACCAAUGAGACCAAUCCUAGAUCUCUGACCAAGCUCGAAUCACGAAAGAACAAAGAGGACCUAAAAGUAAAGAAUGGACCAACUACACCGGAAUCACCUUACUUACCUAAAGCCCCAUUUUUGAGUGCCCCAAAAGCCCCUACUCCUGCGGAUAAGAAGGGAGAAAGACUCGACG
rnacentral:lncRNA from 1 species